rnacentral:rRNA from 1 species
UGGGGAAUUUUGGACAAUGGGCGAAAGCCUGAUCCAGCAAUGCCGCGUGUGUGAAGAAGGCCUUCGGGUUGUAAAGCACUUUUGUCCGGAAAGAAAUCCUCUGGGUUAAUACCUCGGGGGGAUGACGGUACCGGAAGAAUAAGCACCGGCUAACUACGUGCCAGCAGCCGCGGUAAUACGUAGGGUGCAAGCGUUAAUCGGAAUUACUGGGCGUAAAGCGUGCGCAGGCGGUUUUGUAAGACGGAUGUGAAAUCCCCGGGCUUAACCUGGGAACUGCAUUCGUGACUGCAAGGCUAGAGUAUGGCAGAGGGGGGUAGAAUUCCACGUGUANCAGUGAAAUGCGUAGAGAUGUGGAGGAAUACCGAUGGCGAAGGCAGCCCCCUGGGCCAAUACUGACGCUCAUGCACGAAAGCGUGGGGAGCAAACAGGAUUAGAUACCCUGGUAGUCCACGCCCUAAACGAUGUCAACUAGUUGUUGGGGAUUCAUUUCCUUAGUAACGUAGCUAACGCGUGAAGUUGACCGCCUGGGGAGUACGGUCGCAAGAUUAAAACUCAAAGGAAUUGACGGGGUCAUAGCUG